rnacentral:rRNA from 1 species
GAUGAACGCUGGCGGCGUGCCUAAUACAUGCAAGUCGAGCGAACGGACGAGAAGCUUGCUUCUCUGAUGUUAGCGGCGGACGGGUGAGUAACACGUGGAUAACCUACCUAUAAGGCUGGGAUAACUUCGGGAAACCGUAGCUAAUACCGGAUAAUAUUUUGAACCGCAUGGUUCAAAAGUGAAAGACGGUCUUGCUGUCACUUAUAGAUGGAUCCGCGCUGCAUUAGCUAGUUGGUAAGGUAACGGCUUACCAAGGCAACGAUGCAUAGCCGACCUGAGAGGGUGAUCGGCCACACUGGAACUGAGACACGGUCCAGACUCCUACGGGAGGCAGCAGUAGGGAAUCUUCCGCAAUGGGCGAAAGCCUGACGGAGCAACGCCGCGUGAGUGAUGAAGGUCUUCGGAUCGUAAAACUCUGUUAUUAGGGAAGAACAUAUGUGUAAGUAACUGUGCACAUCUUGACGGUACCUAAUCAGAAAGCCACGGCUAACUACGUGCCAGCAGCCGCGGUAGUACGUAGGUGGCAAGCGUUAUCCGGAAUUAUUGGGCGUAAAGCGCGCGUAGGCGGUUUUUUAAGUCUGAUGUGAAAGCCCGCGGCUCAACCGUGGAGGGUCAUUGGAAACUGGAAAACUUGAGUGCAGAAGAGGAAAGUGGAAUUCCAUGUGUAGCGGUGAAAUGCGCAGAGAUAUGGAGGAACACCAGUGGCGAAGGCGACUUUCUGGUCUGUAACUGACGCUGAUGUGCGAAAGCGUGGGGAUCAAACAGGAUUAGAUACCCUGGUAGUCCACGCCGUAAACGAUGAGUGCUAAGUGUUAGGGGGUUUCCGCCCCUUAGUGCUGCAGCUAACGCAUUAAGCACUCCGCCUGGGGAGUACGACCGCAAGGUUGAAACUCAAAGGAAUUGACGGGGACCCGCACAAGCGGUGGAGCAUGUGGUUUAAUUCGAAGCAACGCGAAGAACCUUACCAAAUCUUGACAUCCUUUGACAACUCUAGAGAUAGAGCUUUCCCCUUCGGGGGACAAAGUGACAGGUGGUGCAUGGUUGUCGUCAGCUCGUGUCGUGAGAUGUUGGGUUAAGUCCCGCAACGAGCGCAACCCUUAAGCUUAGUUGCCAUCAUUAAGUUGGGCACUCUAAGUUGACUGCCGGUGACAAACCGGAGGAAGGUGGGGAUGACGUCAAAUCAUCAUGCCCCUUAUGAUUUGGGCUACACACGUGCUACAAUGGACAAUACAAAGGGCAGCGAAACCGUGAGGUCAAGCAAAUCCCAUAAAGUUGUUCUCAGUUCGGAUUGUAGUCUGCAACUCGACUACAUGAAGCUGGAAUCGCUAGUAAUCGUAGAUCAGCAUGCUACGGUGAAUACGUUCCCGGGUCU